UGCCUAACACAUGCAAGUCGUGCGGGAAAGUGGGGGCAACCCCACGAGUACAGCGGCGCACGGGUGAGUAACACGUAGGUAACCUGCCCCCGAGACUGGGAUAACCUGUCGAAAGACGGGCUAAUACCGGAUAAGACAACGGAAGCUUCGGCUUCAGGUGUAAAAGGUGGCCUCUGCUUGCAAGCUACUACUCGAGGAUGGGCCUGCGCGCCAUUAGCUAGUUGGUGAGGUAACGGCUCACCAAGGCAAAGAUGGCUAGCUGGUCUGAGAGGAUGGCCAGCCACACUGGAACUGAGACACGGCCCAGACUCCUACGGGAGGCAGCAGUGGGGAAUAUUGCGCAAUGGGCGAAAGCCUGACGCAGCGACGCCGCGUGGGUGAUGAAGGCCUUCGGGUCGUAAAGCCC
rnacentral:rRNA from 1 species